rnacentral:lncRNA from 1 species
UAUAUGAAAAAAAUAAAAAAAUUAAUAAAAUUUUAUUUUUAAAAAAUAAUUUGAAAAAAUAAAAAGAAAAUUGCGAGGCCCUCCACUCACUCUUGCUACAUAGCCUUUUUUUUUAUUUUGAAAAAUAAUUUUAAUAAAAUAAGGAAGGAUAGAAAAAAAAAUUUCAAAAUAAUAAUAAAAUUAUUAAAAAAUUUAAAAUAGAAGAUUUUUUUAAUAAAAAAUAGAUUUUUAAAAUAAUGAUGAAAUAUUAUUUUUAAAAAUAAUUUGAAAAACUAAUUAUAAUAAUAAUUAAUUUUAAAAGAUAAGAAAGAAGGAAGGUUUUUAAAAAAUAAUAAAAUUUUAUUUUUAAAAUUGCCUAACCAAAAGAGUGCAGGAGGAGAAGGGAAAA